rnacentral:misc_RNA from 1 species
AAGUCGUAACAAGGUUUCCGUAGGUGAACCUGCGGAAGGAUCAUUAACACUCCAAAACUUCUCAUAGCUCUGGGAAACCAGAGUUUAUGAAACCCUAUUCACCUUUAGCGAACCCGGCUCGGGUGAGAUAGAAGGAAACCUGUGGUUUCGUUCUUCUCAUCUGCUAGCUAUUUUCUUUUGUCCACUUUUUUUUUUUAACCCCAAUCAUUAUAACUUUUUAUUGACUGACUGGAAGACGUAACAACUCUUCCGUUGCUCUUCGCUCUAACCGGUGAAGGCAAUGAAAACUUCAAAAACAAAAACAAAAAAACAACUCUUAGCAACGGAUAUCUUGGUUCUC